rnacentral:rRNA from 1 species
UACGUAGGGGUGCAAGCGUUAAUCGGAAUUACUGGGCGUAAAGCGUGCGCAGGCGGUUAUGUAAGACAGAUGUGAAAUGCCCGGGCUUAACCUGGGAACUGCAUUUGUGACUGCAUGGCUAGAGUUUGGCAGAGGGGGGUAGAAUUCCACGUGUAGCAGUGAAAUGCGUGAGAUAUGUGGAGGAACACCGAUGGCGAAGGCAGCCCCCUGGGUCAAGACUGGACGCUCAUGCACGAAAGCGUGGGGAGCAAGAGG